GAUGAAGAACGUAGCGAAAUGCGAUAAGUAAUGUGAAUUGCAGAAUUCAGUGAAUCAUCGAAUCUUUGAACGCACCUUGCGCUCUUUGGUAUUCCGAAGAGCAUGCCUGUUUGUGUGUCAUGAAAAUAUCAACCUUGACUUGGGUUUUGUGCUCUAGUCUCGGCUUGGAAUUGGGUGCUUGCCGCUUUUACGAGCGGCUCACCUUAAAUGUAUUAGCUGGAUCUGUCUUUGAGACUUGGUUUGACUUGGCGUAAUAAGUAUUUCGCUAAGGACAUUCUUCGGAGUGGCCUCGUUUCUAGGACGCUUGUCCGCUUUCCAAUACAAGUUCCACCUCGUGGACAUGACUUUUUAUUAUCUGGCCUCAAAUCAGGUAGGACUACCCGCUGAACUUAAGCAUAUCAAUAAGCGGAGGA
rnacentral:misc_RNA from 1 species